UUAAUCUUUCAAAGUCAGCCAUGCUCCCUCUCGUUCUUUUACUUCCUCAGUCACCGGAAUGAUACUCCUCUGCGCCGGAGGCGAUGAAGAUGAGCUAAACCCCCAUAAAAUGCUCAUUUUUAAGCCUUCUUCCAUAAUACCAACCUAAUUGUCCCUAAUUUGUGACCACCAAUUUGAAUUGAUCCAAAAUUGUGUGAACCCUAAAAAAAAGUAAGUGGGAAGAGGUGGGAAUCUUACAUGCCAGAGUAGUUCUGACGGCUCUUCAAACGUGGUGUUCGUCAAAGAAAUCCAGAGGUUCAAGACUUGUGGGAUUAAGGUGCACAAGGUGGAAUGACCAAGGCUUUUUUGCACCAUGUUCAAGGCAAAUCAACAAAGACUUGGAGGCACAAAGAAGGGCAUGACUUAUGAAUGAAGAAAAAUGGGAAUUUAGGGUUAGGCUUAGUGGUUGACCAAAAAAUCAAAUAUAAGUCAAAAGUGUAUAUUUUUGUAUGGAAUUUGUAAUUUGGGUUUAGGUAAUGUAAUUAGAUGCUCUGAUAAUGAAAAAUGGCCUUUGGGAAAUAAAUGUAUAUGUGUAACUUAUGUCUCAAGCAAUAAUGAUUUCCUUUCAAACUUCA